rnacentral:rRNA from 1 species
GAGAGUUUGAUCAUGGCUCAGGAUGAACGCUAGCGGCAAGGGCUUUAACACAUGCAAGUCGAGGGGUAGAGGAAGCUUGCUUCCUUGAGACCGGCGCACGGGUGCGUAACGCGUAUGCAAUCUACCUUAUACAGGGGAUAGCCCAGAGAAAUUUGGAUUAAUACCCCAUAGUAUAAUUGAAUGGCAUCAUUUAAUUAUUAAAGUUCCAACGGUAUAAGAUGAGCAUGUGUCCCAUUAGCUAGUUGGUGUGGUAACGGCACACCAAGGCGACGAUGGGUAGGGGUCCUGAGAGGGAGAUCCCCCACACUGGUACUGAGACACGGACCAGACUCCUACGGGAGGCAGCAGUGAGGAAUAUUGGUCAAUGGGCGCAAGCCUGAACCAGCCAUGCCGCGUGCAGGAUGACGGUCCUAUGGAUUGUAAACUGCUUUUGUACAGGAAGAAACACUCCCUCGUGAGGGAGCUUGACGGUACUGUAAGAAUAAGGAUCGGCUAACUCCGUG